AGCGCACAUGGCGGAUGCCUUGGCGGCAACAGGCGAUGAAAGACGUGUAAGCCUGCGAUAAGUCUCGGGGAGCUGGCAAUAGAGCUUUGAUCCGGGAAUUUCUGAAUGGGGAAACCCACCCGCAAGGGUACUCCCUGCUGAAUACAUAGGCAGGGUAGAGCGAACGCAGUGAAUUGAAACAUCUCAGUAGCUGCAGGAAAAGACAUCAACCGAGAUUCCCAAAGUAGUGGCGAGCGAAAUGGGAAGAGCCUUCACGAUUUAGCUGUUGACAUAACCAAACGGUCUGGAAAGUCCGACGAUACUGGGUGAUAGUCCCGUAGGUGAAAUGUUGGUGGUGGAACCAGGCGUGAGAGAAGUAGGGCGGGACACGUGAAAUCCUGUCUGAAGAUGGGGGGACCAUCCUCCAAGGCUAAAUACUCGUGAUCGACCGAUAGUGAACCAGUACCGUGAGGGAAAGGCGAAAAGAACCCCGGGAGGGGAGUGAAAUAGAUCCUGAAACCGCAUGCAUACAAACAGUGGGAGCCUCGCAAGGGGUGACUGCGUACCUUUUGUAUAAUGGGUCAGCGACUUACGUUCAGUAGCAAGCUUAACCGGAUAGGGGAGGCGUAGCGAAAGCGAGUCUGAUAAGGGCGAUUUAGUUGCUGGGCGUAGACCCGAAACCAAGUGAUCUAUCCAUGGCCAGGAUGAAGGUGCGGUAACACGCACUGGAGGUCCGAACCCACUAAUGUUGAAAAAUUAGGGGAUGAGCUGUGGAUAGGGGUGAAAGGCUAAACAAACUUGGAAAUAGCUGGUUCUCCCCGAAAACUAUUUAGGUAGUGCCUCGUGCGGACACUUCCGGGGGUAGAGCACUGUAAUCGUUGGGGGGGUCAUUGCGAUCUACCCCGCGAUAGCAAACUCCGAAUACCGGAAAGUGAUACACGGGAGACAGACGGUGGGUGCUAACGUCCAUCGUCAAGAGGGAAACAACCCAGACCGCCAGCUAAGGUCCCAAAUCCAUGGCUAAGUGGAAAACGAGGUGGGAAGGCAUAGACAGCUAGGAGGUUGGCUUAGAAGCAGCCACCCUUUAAAGAAAGCGUAAUAGCUCACUAGUCGAGUCGUCCUGCGCGGAAGAUGUAACGGGGCUCAAGCCAUGAACCGAAGCUGCGGAUGCAUUUUAAUGCAUGGUAGGGGAGCGUUCUGUAAGUCUGUGAAGGUGUCUUGUAAAGGAUGCUGGAGAUAUCAGAAGUGCGAAUGCUGACAUGAGUAGCGAUAAAGGGUGUGAAAAGCACCCUCGCCGAAAGCCCAAGGUUUCCUGCGCAACGUUCAUCGGCGCAGGGUGAGUCGGCCCCUAAGGCGAGGCAGAAAUGCGUAGUCGAUGGGAAACAGGUCAAUAUUCCUGUACCGAUUCUAGAUGCGAUGUGGGGACGGAGAAGGUUAGAUCAGCCAUCUGUUGGAAUAGGUGGUUUAAGCGUGUAGGCGUGCCCCUUAGGCAAAUCCGGGGGGCUGAGCUGAGGCGUGACGACGAGGUCUCUUUGAGACCGAAGUGAUUGAUACCCUGCUUCCAGGAAAAGCCACUAAGCUUCAGUCUAGAAUUGACCGUACCGCAAACCGACACAGGUGGGCAGGUAGAAGAUACUAAGGCGCUUGAGAGAACUCAGGAGAAGGAACUCGGCAAAUUGAUACCGUAACUUCGGGAGAAGGUAUGCCCUGGUAGCUUGUAGGAGAACAUCCGAAGGGCGACGGGGCCGCAGAGAAUCGGUGGCUGCGACUGUUUAUUAAAAACACAGCACUCUGCAAACACGAAAGUGGACGUAUAGGGUGUGACGCCUGCCCGGUGCCGGAAGGUUAAGUGAUGGGGUGCAAGCUCUUGAUCGAAGCCCCGGUAAACGGCGGCCGUAACUAUAACGGUCCUAAGGUAGCGAAAUUCCUUGUCGGGUAAGUUCCGACCUGCACGAAUGGCAUAACGAUUGCGGCGGUGUCUCAACGAGGGGCUCAGUGAAAUUGCAGUGCCGGUGAAGAUACCGGCAUCCCGCGGAAAGACGGCAAGACCCCGUGGACCUUUACUACAGCUUGAUAGUGUAUCUUGGGUAUGUUUGUGUAGGAUAGGUGGGAGGCUUUGAAGCCGGGACGCUAGUUUCGGUGGAGCCAACCUUGAAAUACCACCCUGAUGUACUUGAGAUACUAACCUGCUCCCGUUAUCCGGGAGAGGGACACUGUCUGGCGGGUAGUUUGACUGGGGCGGUCGCCUCCCAAAAUGUAACGGAGGCGCGCGAAGGUUCUCUCAGGCUGUUUGGAAAUCAGCCGUCGAGUGUAAAGGCAUAAGAGAGCUUGACUGCGAGACGGACACGUCGAGCAGGUGCGAAAGCAGGUCUUAGUGAUCCGGUGGUCCCGAAUGGAAGGGCCAUCGCUCAACGGAUAAAAGGUACCCCGGGGAUAACAGGCUUAUCUCCCCCAAGAGUUCACAUCGACGGGGAGGUUUGGCACCUCGAUGUCGGCCCAUCGCAUCCUGGGGCUGGAGUAGGUCCCAAGGGUUUGGCUGUUCGCCAAUUAAAGCGGUACGCGAGCUGGGUUUAGAACGUCGUGAGACAGUUCGGUCCCUAUCUUCCGUGGGCGUAGGAAAUUUGAGAGAAUCUGUCCUUAGUACGAGAGGACCGGGAUGGACGAACCUCUGGUGCUCCAGUUGUCGUGCCAACGGCAUAGCUGGGUAGCUACGUUCGGAACGGAUAACCGCUGAAAGCAUCUAAGUGGGAAACCGCUCUCAAGAUAAGAUUUCCCCUCCGCUUCGUGCGGACUGAAGGCCUCCUGAAGACGACAGGAUUGAUAGGCUGGGUGUGUAAGCGCAGCGAUGCGUUGAGCUAACCAGUACUAAUCGGCCGUGCGGCUUGACU
rnacentral:rRNA from 1 species